UACGAAGGGUGCAAGCGUUAAUCGGAAUUACUGGGUGUAAAGGGUGCGUAGGCGGUUGUUUAAGUCUGUCGUGAAAUCCCCGGGCUCAACCUGGGAAUGGCGAUGGAUACUGGGCAGCUAGAGUGUGUCAGAGGAUGGUGGAAUUCCCGGUGUAGCGGUGAAAUGCGUAGAGAUCGGGAGGAACAUCAGUGGCGAAGGCGGCCAUCUGGGACAACACUGACGCUGAAGCACGAAAGCGUGGGGAGCAAACAGG
rnacentral:rRNA from 1 species